rnacentral:hammerhead_ribozyme from 1 species
AUAUAGCUGACGAGUCCCAAAUAGGACGAAACGCGCGGUUUUAGAU